rnacentral:pre_miRNA from 1 species
AAAAAGCGUAGCACUAAGUAAGUUUAGUGUUCAACUUUGAUCAUUCGCUUUAUUUAAAAUUUUUCUAUUAAAAUUUUUCUAUGAUUAGCAUAUUAUUAUUAUUAUUAGAUUAUAAAACAUGAAUACUUAUGUUUUUAUUUUUUUAAAAAAUGUAAAUAAGAUGGAUGAUUAAAGUUGUGCACGAAAAUUUAUGACUGCGUUUAUU